rnacentral:rRNA from 1 species
UACGAAGGGGGCUAGCGUUGCUCGGAAUCACUGGGCGUAAAGGGUGCGUAGGCGGGUCUUUAAGUCAGGGGUGAAAUCCUGGAGCUCAACUCCAGAACUGCCUUUGAUACUGAAGAUCUUGAGUUCGGGAGAGGUGAGUGGAACUGCGAGUGUAGAGGUGAAAUUCGUAGAUAUCGGGAGGAACACCAGUGGCGUAGGCGACUCGCUGGCUCACUACUGACGCUGAGACGCGAAAGCGUGGGGAGCAAACAGG